GUCCCUUCGGUCGUGCAGCCUUCGGGAAUUUGCCGUGUGUCACAGAGUGUGUAAUAACAGAUCUCUAUUUCUGACACGUCCCCUUUAAGAGCCAAGAAGCCCCGCUCCGUCCUUGGAGUCCGGGAACUCCACUUCCCAGCGCACCCUAAGUUGUCCCUUGGCCAUUAUCCCUAAGGUCUGGAAGGGCAGUCGCUGCCAAACAGCGGUCAUUAGCGGGGAAACUACAUUACCUAGAAUGCUCUGCGGCAAGGGCAGCUGCCGGCGCAAUAAGUCAAUGAGAGCUUAGACUAGAGACGUGGUGGCGGAGCUCUGGAGCGGGACCGAGGAGACAGAGAGGAGAGGCGUCGUCCCCGCUGCACGGAGGCGGCUGUGAGGCCCCACUGAGUCCGUCGGUGACGGCGGCGCCUUGUUCCCGCCCCGUCGCCCGUUCUGGUCCCACUCUUCCCACAGGUCGGUGGCGGGGGCCGCGCCGAUGAGCCCGACUCAGGUGGGUGCUGCGGCCCCCAGGCCUCACCCCGCCCGGCUCCCACCUCCGAGAGCGAAGCCCGGGUGGAGGGGCACCGCUUGGUUCCCUGCAUGCAGGCCCCCGUGGCCGCCAUGUGAUGAGAUAGGAGGGUUCCCUCAGGGGCGGCCUGUGCACAGGCCGCAGAUGCUCCUGAGUCGGCCGCACUGAGGAAACCUGGGGUCAGUGUGUCCACGGGACACACGGCUUGUCACCUGGAGAGGCGACAUGAGCUUCUGGAAGCCAUGGAAUGUUGUAGAGGAAGAGAGGGGCAACAAUAUUGUGAUUUAUAAGAAAUACUUAUUUGGUUAGUCAGACCAGAAUGUAUUUCUCAUGUAUUCUUGGUCUUCACCACAGUUCUGGCCCAUAGCUCCCAAAACCCUUGGAAUUUCCUAGGUAUUGAGAGUAAUAAAGUUGUCUUGUUCUGUGAA